GAGGAUUUAGCUUAAUAAAAGCAAUUGAUUU
rnacentral:tRNA from 1 species